rnacentral:rRNA from 1 species
GACAGAGGGGGCAAGCGUUGCUCGGAAUUACUGGGCGUAAAGCGUGCGCAGGCGGUUUUGUAAGUCUGUCGUGAAAUCCCCGGGCUUAACCUGGGAAUGGCGAUGGAGACUGCAAGGCUGGAGUUUGGCAGAGUGGGGUAGAAUUCCACGUGUAGCAGUGAAAUGCGUAGAGAUGUGGAGGAACACCGAUGGCGAAGGCAGCCUUCUGGGCCAAUACUGACGCUCAUGCACGAAAGCGUGGGGAGCAAACAGG